rnacentral:rRNA from 1 species
AGAGUUUGAUCCUGGCUCAGAUUGAACGCUGGCGGCAUGCCUAACACAUGCAAGUCGAACGGAAACGAUGCUAGCUUGCUAGCAGGCGUCGAGUGGCGGACGGGUGAGUAAUGCAUAGGAAUCUACCUAAUAGCGGGGGACAACCUGGUGAAAACCAGGCUAAUACCGCAUAAUCCCUACGGGGCAAAGCAGGGGACCUUCGGGCCUUGCACUAUUAGAUGAGCCUAUGUCGGAUUAGCUAGUUGGUGAGGUAAUGGCUCACCAAGGCAACGAUCCGUAGCUGGUUUGAGAGGAUGAUCAGCCACACUGGGACUGAGACACGGCCCAGACUCCUACGGGAGGCAGCAGUGGGGAAUAUUGCACAAUGGACGCAAGUCUGAUGCAGCAAUGCCGCGUGUGUGAAGAAGGCCUUAGGGUUGUAAAGCACUUUCAGUAGGGAGGAAAAGUUCAAGGUUAAUAACCUUGGGCCCUGACGUUACCUACAGAAGAAGCACCGCUAACU